AUUCUGGGCAGGAAUGUGUCUCUUUAUUGUUGUAUGGUACUCUGCCAAGCGUUUAGUACAGGGGUCUGCACACAGUUGGUGCUCAAUAAAUACAACUGAAUGCAUAAAUGAAUGAAUUCUCCUGUUCUGGGCUUCUCAGCACCUUAAGUCUGCUGGAGAAGAAAUAAAAUUGAGUUUCCCAGAAAGAUGGAACUGCCUUGGUCAAGGAGAUGGUAACUAAAAUAAGGGACACCUUUCAACUUUCUAACACAGACAGAAGAGUCCCGAUUUGAGGGGAAAAAAGAAAAUCCCACAUUUUGCUUCCUACUACAACUUCAGAAAGCAACAUUCAUGGAAAACAUUCUCAUGGGGAAACUCUAAGAAAAGAUUCGCCUGCGAGUAUGGACAAGAUGUGAUGUCAGGAACCACUUUCUAUUACGAAGAGCAGUUUUGCAUGGAAAGAAACUUUUCACACAUCAAGGAUUUUUCAUUCCAUUAGAAAUAAGCUUUAAGAAAAAUUAAUGUCAACCCACGGGACCUGCAGCUCCUGGACACUGAAGAUUUACUCCAUC
rnacentral:lncRNA from 1 species